GGACAUGAUCCUGGCCUUCGCCUGUGGACUGGGCCUCUUCCACCUGUGGAUACAUUUCUUCCCACUCACCUCACCCUCACCUGCAGAGGGCGCCUCCACCACCACCAAAAGGGUGGUGAAGAGGGACCACAACAAGGCCAGGAAGAAAAUCAGGACCUUGAAAGGUAGAGGCUGAUGAUGCUGGAUCAGAUGAUGGAGCGAUCCACUGAGGAAACAGUGUCAUAUCCAGCUGCCCGAGAGCCAAUGAAACGCUGGGACGUGAUUAUAAGGGUUUGCCCAGUUCCUCUAAUAAACCAGUGUACUUUU
rnacentral:lncRNA from 1 species